UACGUAGGUGACAAGCGUUGUCCGGAUUUACUGGGCGUAAAGAGCGCGCAGGCGGUCGAUCAAGUCGAGUGUGAAAGCCCCCGGCUCAACUGGGGAGGGUCAUUCGAUACUGAUCGACUCGAAGGCAGGAGAGGGUAGUGGAAUUCCCGGUGUAGCAGUGAAAUGCGUAGAGAUCGGGAGGAACAUCCAUGGCGAAGGCAGCUACCUGGACCAACACUGACACUGAGGCACGAAAGCGUGGGGAGCAAACAGG
rnacentral:rRNA from 1 species